UACGUAGGGUGCAAGCGUUGAUCGGAAUUACUGGGCGUAAAGCGUGCGCAGGCGGUUGGGUAAGUCAGAUGGGAAAUCCCCGGGCUCAACCUGGGAAUUGCAUUUGAGACUGCACGGCUAGAGUGUGUCAGAGGGGGGUAGAAUUCCACGUGUAGCAGUGAAAUGCGUAGAGAUGUGGAGGAAUACCGAUGGCGAAGGCAGCCCCCUGGGAUAACACUGACGCUCAUGCACGAAAGCGUGGGGAGCAACCAGG
rnacentral:rRNA from 1 species